rnacentral:pre_miRNA from 15 species
UGCCUCUCCCGGUCUCGUUCUCUCUUGGAUCUUUUUGCGGUCUGGGCUUGCUGUUCCUCCAAUCAGUAGUCAGGAAGCCCUUACCCCAAAAAGUAUUUGCGAGGGAUAAGGUCAGCGGGGAAGAAA